GCGUGAAUGACUACAAAGGGAGGAUGUUGUGGGGAUGUUGGUGGGAAGGAACAACAUAUUUUGUUUUCAAGCUUUAACUAAAAACAUGCCAACAUGUUUACAUAAUAGACCAUUAAUAGAUAAAACACUUUUAUCCCAAUAUGAUUAUUUGUAGCUCUUCUUCAAUUGUGUUCUCCUCCAAAAACUUUGGUGCUCCAAUGAAUUCCUACCUCUUCUACCGUUUUUUUCUUCUUUUUUUCUGUAUUCAACUUUCUGUAUUUCUCCUUGUGAUUAUUUUGUAUUCAACUUUAUGUAUCCAAUGAAAUCCUUAGAGCAUGAUCAGAACAUUGUUGAUAGCAAUUCCAGACCUUGUCCCUGGCCACCACCAAUCUCCAUCAUGCCACUAUACCUAGAAUAAAACCACCACGCACAACACAACACCUGUAAACAACAAAACAAUGUCAAUGCUUCACCUCACGACAACAAAACAUCAUCAUGCAAGCAACCAUCAACCAUUGUGCCUCAUUCACUAAACCCCCAAAUCAAAACCAAAAAUGCACUGUGAGGUUAUCUCAAGAACCCAAAUCACAAAUUAGUACAUGUAAUGCGAACCAAAUGCAGAUCUACACUUUGAACCACCAUGUCGUUCAACCUCUCACCAUUCAACAAAAACUCGAGCACUACAACUUCAAGCCACCAGGUUCAUUCAAUGCACUACAUCGAAACUACAAGCAAACUGCAACAGAACCACAAGCAACCGCCAAAAGCCGUCGGUAAAGACUCAUUACCGAGGGUCCGGCGACGGUCAAAAGGCCCUCGGUAAAUAGCCUGUCGCUAACUAUUACC
rnacentral:lncRNA from 1 species